rnacentral:piRNA from 1 species
UUGGGCUAAGGGAAAGAUAACAGA